UAAUGGUAAAAAGCAGCAACCUGUGGAGAUUUUCAGUCACUAGCUGACGGACUGUUUGUGUUUCUUUAAAACUUUCGUACCAACAUGGUUGAACUAUUAAAGGAAAAGUUAGUUAUAUUUAGAAGCUUCCACCAGCUCGCGAGUUGAGGUUUAUUCCGACGAGUUCGUCGUUGCUAAGGUUAAUUAUUAAUCAAAAACAGUGAAAUUCGCUUCAAUUUGCGCUGCUUAAUAAUUAACUAAAAAACCGUAAUUUGCUAUAUUUUUUGCCUGCAUGCAAAACGCGCUAGAAACCGAGCCCCGGGAGCAGUGACGACUAUUGGCGGCGAUGAAAUUUUAAUCAUUUGGAUUAUUACGAAGUGCGGAGCCGUGUGGCGUACGGUUUUGUUCGUUGAAACAGUGAUGAGUUAGAAUAAUGUAGUUCCGGCUGGGUUUUGAAUUAUGCGACAUGCAUUGUAAUGGUUUGCGUUUUCUGUUUUAUGAAAUUAGGUUCAUCGUUUAUUUAUGAACUUAAUUCGAUGCGCGGGUGUUUUUAGCACAGGAAUUCGAUUUAGUGACCAGCACGGGUACUGGGUUAUUUAUGAUACUGUUGUUACUGUCGACUAAUCACGUCAAGGUUAUUCAAUUAAAGGAACUAAAAACAUGUUCAAAUCGAUAUUUUCGGUGUCUCACGACGAAACGUUUUGAGACUUUAUUAAAAGCUUGCAAACGUUUAUCCGUUUACUGCAAAGAUAUGAACUAUUUUUACUGCGGAAAUUGAAAAAUAUGAAUAAAACGUCACCAUGUUGUCGAUACUCACUACACUAGCCAACUGAAAUGUUCGUGGGUUAUGCUUGUAGAUAAAAUAUCCAAAAAUCAUCAAUCACUAAAUAGUGCAAAUUUAUUCAUUUCCCAUAGCAUUGCUCUGUUUUCCUAUCGCAGACACAAAUAAAAUAAACAAAACUAAUCGAUCAACUUUAUGAUUAAUUUGAAAUAAUUUUGACGGUGUUCUUUAUCUUAUAGGAACAAAUCUUGUGUAAACGUUAACGUUUUUCGAAAAGAUCAGAGGACGCGUCAUGCGAGAACACAACUGGAAGCUGCGAUUGAAGGUAAUAAUCAAGACUAAUCCAGGGCUCUUAUAAUAAUAUCUUGCAAAAAAAGCAAUUCUAACCAAACUCGGAAGAUUUGUAUGCGAGAAGGUUAUCGUAAUUGUUGUGCUAGCAAGCUAAUGGUCUCGGAAUGUGAACACUAUACUGACGAAAUUCGAAGGUUCCUUGCUGAUGGACAACGAAACAUAUGUAGGUAUGUAUAAACUUCAAGCAGCUGCCAAACCUAAAAUUCUGGGAGUUUCAACUCUGUCUCUGUCGAUACGCACCACGUUUCGCAGGCAUAUAGCAAAACAACCAUCGUUGCUAGCUUGUGCGCCAAACAUUCCGUAGACCUGCACAGGUCUUCCUGAUUUGUGUGGUUUUAUCAGUCUUGGUACCCCCAUCAAGCGUUGUCUGGCUAUUAAGAUAUUGGAAGGAUUCUUCCUAUUCAACUCAUAGACUCGCUUUUGUAUAGCUGGAGGAUCGUCAGUAUUCACUUCCAUUGCUUUUGCACCAUUCCCUAAUAGAACUGCUGCUUUGGAGCAUUCGGUGAGGUCAUCAAGCUUCUGCAUGUUUGUUCGGUGUUGAACGCAGCAAAGCAAUGCCGUCGGUUAGAUAGAAGUCAUCCAGCUGCUCUUUAGUUGAAACAUUCCAUGAUAAUCCUCAGUAUACUGUCAAUACCUAAAACACGAAUCUCAUCUAUCACGAUGAGGAACAGUAGCGGUGAUAAUAUGCAGCCCUGUCUCACACCAGCAGUAACACCUUGCACGAAAAUGCCUCAUACGGAGCUCGAAUGAGAUGGACUGGCUUAUCUUGAAUUCCUCUACGCCUGAGUACGUUUCAGAUUUGUUCGUGAUUGAGUCAGUCUAACGCAUUUUAGAAAUCUACGAAAACCACCAGAAAAGUCCUAGAAUUCGUUAAUUUACUUUAGUUGUUACAGAGCGUUGAUCGGCUGGCUCGCAAACCGGCUUACUGUCGACAGAUGGUAGCGCCGAUUUUCUCCUGGAUGCGGUUGAGGAUUUUCCUGCACAAUACAUUGAGAGUGAUACACAGUAAACAGUAACUUGAUGACCUGUAUCCAGUUCACGACAACAGUCGCGGUUUCCCGAAUAGUUGUAAAUAACCGAUGGCUGGAUCAGCUUAACCCUCUAGUGCUCAGUGCCACCUUUGGACGGGUUUUAGUCAAACCCCUAAAAAGCUUUAAUAAAUACUUUAAAAAUCAUUAUAAAGAUUCAUAGUGAUUUUACCGAAGUCCGCCUAAAAGUUAACUUGGGCACUAGAGGGUUAAAGCACCUCGGCUAUUCCUAUUGCUGAUGCUCUGUUGGAUUUCACGCUCCUGGCCGAUACCUCAAUUUCAGUCAAUGUUGGUGCCUUAGAAAUUGCACAGUUAAACUUAUGGUGCCUCGCGCUGCUAAUCUGUGACAUCUAAAACUCGGAGAAGUUCUACAAAUUGUUAAGACCAUCGUCUAAGCUGGUCUGUUCGGUCAAUCAGUCCAUCAGCGGCUAAUACAGGUUUGUCAAUUUGAUUCUCUGAUUCUUAUAUCAUCAUGUUAUUGUGGCCACAUAAUUUCCGCUAAUAAUUAUAAUAUUUUUCGCUUUCUUCUGGAUUGUGGUAUCCCAUAGGAUGCUCAAGAUCCGCAUUUUUUGAGUCUAUCUUCACGUUGAAGUCGCCCAAAUGGAUCUGAAUAUCACCCUUGGGGUCUUUUCCGCCACAUUGUUCAGCUGGCUGUUACCAAUCAGACAAAGACCUGUGUGACCUUUGCUGUAUCUGCGAGUUAACCCCUUGUACUCAAUCCAUGGCUGCUCGACUUUAAUCUUGCAUUCUAUGGAAAUCUUCUUCCACUUGGUCAAUCCACCGUGCACGUUGCGCGCCACAACACCGAGUUCCUAGUAGGUCGUUAUCAAGAACCAUUUUGAUGGGUUUUCAUCCAACAUUCUUACGCUAUGCCCAGCCCACCGGAGUCUUCCGAUUUUAGCCGUAUAGAUUAUAGUAGGUUCCCCAGCAACUAAUACAACUCGUGUUUCAUUCGUCGUCUCUAUCUCGCAUCUUCGAAAACCCCAAAAGCACGCUGCUCCUCCACAAGCAAGGUCUAUGUUUCGUGGCCGUAGAGGACUACCACCAAUUAGUGUUUUGCAGAUGGUUAAUUUUGUGGAGCGGUAAAUUUUGUUUGAUCGAAGCGUUUUCCG